ensembl:snoRNA SNORA72 Small nucleolar RNA SNORA72
AUGCAGCUAGUCUUCCUGUUCUCAUUCCAAGGUAAUCAGGACAAGCUAAAAGUCCUCUACAGUAAGAACAUGCACAUGUCUCCAGACCUGUUCUAUCUCUAGGCCUGAUUUUCUAAAUGUUGUGAAAUAU